rnacentral:misc_RNA from 1 species
GAUGAAGAACGUAGCGAAAUGCGAUAAGUAGUGUGAAUUGCAGAAUUCCGUGAAUCAUCGAAUCUUUGAACGCACAUUGCGCCUUCUGGUAUUCCGGAAGGCAUGCCUGUUCGAGAGUCAUUAACAACCGUUUCGAUCCCUUUCUUUCAGAAAUUACAAAGAGGAAAAGGGUUUGGUUAUGGUGGAGGAGGGAAAGGGAGCGUUUAGCCUGUAAAAAAAGAGGCUGUGUUCCGCCUCCCCCCCAAAAUUGUACAGGCGGUCGUGUGCGCCCACGCAUCGAGGUGUUGUAAAAGCUGCCACGGCACUUUUCACCUGUGCAGUGCAAGAUUGGCCAGCCGGUUUAAAAACCCCUCCAAACAAUCAAAGGUUGACCUCGGAUCAGGUAGGGAUACCCGCUGAACUUAAGCAUAUCAAUAAGCGGAGGA